rnacentral:rRNA from 1 species
GAUUCUGGCUCAGGAUGAACGCUAGCGACAGGCUUAACACAUGCAAGUCGAGGGGCAGCAUAAAAGUAGCAAUACUUGGUGGCGACCGGCGCACGGGUGAGUAACGCGUAUGCAACCUACCUAUCAGAGGGGAAUAACCCGGCGAAAGUCGGACUAAUACCGCAUAAAACAGGGGCACCGCAUGGUGAUAUUUGUUAAAGAAAUUCGCUGAUAGAUGGGCAUGCGUUCCAUUAGGUAGUUGGUGAGGUAACGGCUCACCAAGCCGACGAUGGAUAGGGGAACUGAGAGGUUGGUCCCCCACACUGGUACUGAGACACGGACCAGACUCCUACGGGAGGCAGCAGUGAGGAAUAUUGGUCAAUGGGCGGGAGCCUGAACCAGCCAAGUCGCGUGAAGGAAGAAGGAUCUAUGGUUCGUAAACUUCUUUUGCAGGGGAAUAAAGUGCAGGACGUGUCCUGUUUUGUAUGUACCCUGAGAAUAAGGAUCGGCUAACUCCGUGCCAGCCGCAGC